CAACCCAUUGGCCAUGGCGAGCAUCAUUUGUUUGGUCUCCUUCCUGAACUCCUCCAAAUCCACCGCCCCAUUCGCAUCAUGAUCGAACUUCACAAACAGGGAGUCGUAGACAUGAGCAAGCUCAUCUGGAUCUCUUUUAACAUCAAUACCGAAGUGUGUUUCAAAGACCCUCAGACUCUGAAACUCUUUCAGCAUCUCUGGAUAGGAGAGGAAGCCAUCAUGGUUUGUGUCAAGAUUGGAAAAGCGGUGAUGGAUCAAACCAUUGAAUGCUUCUUUAUCUUCCACAAAGCUGACAAUGGUGGCACCGUCCAACACUUCCACACUCAUUCUCUCUUCUGCUCCUGCGCUCAAACUGGCUAGUAUCCUAGAAAAGCUCUAACCCAAGAACCAAGUAGUAAAAAAGCUUUUGAUUUUGAUGAAAAUGAAGGAUGCCAAGGUUGCAUAUAUAUAGCUGAAUAUUAGAUUAGUAGAGAAACAACCGUUAAACUUCUAGCAAAGUGAUAUGCUGGUUCAAACACACCGAAAGUUUUCAGCCUAUUGUUUCUUUAUUGUGCCUGUGGUUUCUGAAAACUCCCACGCAAACCAAGCUAAUGGGAAGGCUCUCGUAAAUACCAUCAUCACUUUGUCGGUGAAACUGUAUCAACAUAUACAUAUACAAUGUUAGAAAUUAGGUUCUACAUGAAAAUAUUAUAUAUUCAAUCUCAAAAAAUCUGCUAUUACAUAACAAAUAUGACUUUUCAUAUGGGUCCCAGUGUCUUUGGAAAUUAAACAAUAGGCUCAUCUGAUAUGUAGAUAGUCAGAAACCAACAUGCAAUAUUGUAACGUACAUUUUGGAAAACAAUAGGCUGAGUUGAUGUCUAGAAAGUCAGAAGCCGAAAGGACUUGACCAAGUCAAAGACGAGUAACUUUUUCGGUUAAGACGAUGGGCCAAACCUGAAAAUGAAAAUCAAUGUGCCCACAAAAUGGAAAUCUAAUAUUCAUGUAAAAAAUAUAUAGCUAUGAAACUCUAAUAGUAAAACAUAGAUGGUGAUUGGUGAGGAUAUAUUUUAAAGUAGGAUUCUGGAAUGGUGAAAUAGCUAAUGUGGCAACUCAAAGGGUUGGACAAAGUGAGGCUUUUGUUACUAUUUGUUAAUGGGAAUUUGAUGGUAGUGGUAACUUAGUCAUCACCUUGCUUUUACAAAAAAUUUAAGAACCCUACUCAUCUAUCUUGUCUACAAGUGUGUGUCAGUUUUCCACCUUUCAAGGCAUUGGCCUAAAACCCCAAGUUGUAAAAUAAGCCUCAUUCUCCUAUUGUGCCUUCUUCCUCAUCCAUAAUGACAUGGAAAAGAGAUCCAAGUUAGAACAUCCCCUCCCUCAACCCCCAAAGGGCAUUUCUGUAAUUUGAAUGAUAAUAAAGGGGUAUUUUGGAGUUGGAACAUGAAUUGUAAUAUCAACUAAUUCACCUCCUUGAAACAAAUAUAAACAAAAUUUUAUUUGUCCUCAUGUCCAAUGCAAGGGUUAUUUUUUAUUUAUUUAUAAAACUCUAUAUAGCUAUGAAAUUUUUACUAUAAAUUUAUAAAUUGUGUUUAUACCCAUUUUUUUUUAAAAAUAAUUUUACUCGAAAAAAAAUGAAAGCUAAAAGAUAUAAUAUCAGUUAACAAGCAAUUGUUUUUUAAAAAAAGCGAGGUUUGAACGUAAGAUUAAUUUUUAAAAGUAUAUUUUUUACAUGAUAAUUUAAAAUAUCUUUUAGCCGAAAUCUAAUAUUAAGGAAGAGUAAAAGAAACAAGUUUACAAACUUAAAAAGGCAUUAUAUGGGUUAAUGUAGGCACCAUCUGCUUAGUAUACGCAGAUUGGUACCUAUUUAUUGUGGCAUGGAUUUCAAAAGAGUCCUUACAUCAAAUCAAAUUCUAAUGGUGAUAUAAUUGUUGUAUGCCUCUUUGUGAAUGAUUUAAUUUUUAUAGGAAAUUGUCAAUAGAUGUUUGAAGAUUUUAAGGAGACAACGAAACAAUAAUUUAAGAUGACAAAUUUGGAAUUAAUAUCCUAUUUUCUUGGAAUUAAAUUCCAACAAACAAAUGAUGAUAUCUUUAUCUCAUAAAAUAACUAUGCUAUAGAUAUUCUAAAGUGAUUCAAGAUGGAAUCAUCAUCAUAAAUCCGUACUCUUAUUCCAGAGUGACUACAGAUGAUAAAGGAAAGCAUUAGGCAUAGUAGGAAGUCUUCCUUAUUUAACAUCUACUAGACCAAAUAUUGUUUUUGGAGUGGAAAUUAUCAUUUGAUUUAUGGAAAAAAAAAUCAUAUUAGUUACGCCUGCAAGCGACAGUGAAUUUUGAGGUAUGUAAGUGAUACUUGUGAUCAUGAAAUUUUCUAUUCAUAUUCAAGCAACUUCAGUUUAGUGGGUUACAUAGAUAGUGAUUGGGGAGGCGAUGUAGAGACUAGAAAGAGUACUGGUGGGUAUAUAUAUUUAUUUAUUUAUUUAUUUAUUUUUAUCUUGGAACAAGAGCAUUCUUAUGGUCAUAAAAAAGCAACAAGUUGUAGCAUUAUCAAUUACAGAAACUGAAUACAUGACAAUUACUUUCGCAACAUGUUGAUUAGUUUGGCUUUACAGGAUGCUUAGGCUAUAUUUGGUUCCCGGAAAGUACUAAGAAAAGAGAAAAAUAUUAAAGAAAAUGGUUUGAUCAUGUUUAGUUUCACUAUAAAAAAAUAUAAAAUAAAAUAUAAUUAAAAUUCAUCAAAAGUUUAGAUAUUUUUAAAUUAUUUAAUCUUUAUAUAAUAGAGGAGACUAAGUGAAAUGAGUUUGAAAAAGCAUAUAAAAAUAAUUUAUUGAGUUUAAAUCUAUUUUUUAUUUUCCUUCAUUUUUUUUCUUUCCUUCUAUUUUUCCUCUCUAUUUCAUUUCCUAUGUAUUUUCUCUCAAAUUUUCCAAGAACCAAACAUAACCUCAUUGAAUUGAAGUAUGAACAAAUGGGUCGUACAGAGAUUUUGUGUAAUAAUAAGUUUUCUAUUGUAUUGACAAAAAAUUCAAUGUUUCAUGACAAAAGCAAACACAUAAGUAUCAAAUUUCAUUAUAUUAGGAAACUCAUGAAAAAUCAAGAGAUCAAUUUUAGUUUUGUAGAUCAAAUGUAGAUAUUUUUACAAAACCAUUGAAAACAAAUGUGUUCGAGAAGUUGGAGAUGAUGCUUGGUGUGAUUAGUUUUACAAUUCAAAUAAGAGAAGACCGUUGAAAUUAUAAUCCAACUUAAAGUCAAAUUAGAAGAGUUUUAAGAAUUUGAGAAGUAUUAGGAAUUGUUAUUUAUUAGAUUUUUUUAUGUUAAUUAGGACUUUUGGUCUAAUAGAAAUGAGAAUCCUAGUAUGAUUAGUUUAUCAUAAAUAGGCUUGUUAUUAUAGAUACUAAAUUAUGUGGUUCCAACAAAUUAUACGUGGUCAUGAUAAUAUAUAAAAUUUUAAAACAAGUUAUAAUAUUAUAAAUUUGGUGUUAUAUACUACUCAGGUAUUAAAAAGUGAGCUACCUAGCUAUUUUCUCUCUUGGAAUACAUUGACAUGAAUAUAGUUCAUUACUAUUAACUUAAUCCCUUAGUUAUUUUAAAAGUUCUUCAUAUUGAGGUAAUUAAAUUAAAUGUUAUGUUUGGUUAUAAGAAACUACUAUAAAUCAAAAAGACAAUUAAAAAAAAAAAUCAUUUUUUUAAAAUUUGAUUGUACUAUAAAAAUAUAUCUUAAAAAACAAAUAUAAUUAAAAAUGUAAAUAUUUUUAAAUUAUUUAAUCUUCACGUAAAUGAAAUUUAAAUAAAUAAAAUAAAUUAAAAAUAUAUAAAAAUAAGUUAUUGAAUUUAAAUCUAUUUCUUAUUUUAUUUUAUUAUUAUUAUUACUAUUUUUUCCUAUGGCCUUUCUCUUGUAUCUUCACUCACAUUUCCUAGGAACCAUUGACAUGAAUAUAGUUCAUUACAAAUAUAAUUAAAAUUUUAAAUAUUUUAAAAUUAUUUAAUUUUUACAUAAAUGAAAUUUAAAUAGAUAAAAUAAAUUUAAAAUAUAUAAAAAUAAGUUAUUGAAUUUAAAUCUAUUUCUUAUUUUAUUAUUAUUAUUAUUAUUAUUAUUUAUUUUUUUCCUAUCGUCUUUCUCUUGUAUCUUCACUCACAUUUCCUAGGAACCAAAGUAGGUAAAGCUUAAUUUUGAGUGGAAGGAAGUCACCAAGUCAAUCGAAUCUCAUAGAUGAAAUUCCUCCAUGAUAACAGUAGUUUAUUUAUCACUUCUCCACGAUAACAUGAAUUCAAUUCCCAUCAUUAAAGUUGCUCCAAGAUGGCAGGAGAAGCAUCGUCGGCAAGUUCCCAAAGCAAACACAGUCUCGCCAUCCCAAACCACCUCUCCCAUCAAUGCUGCUGCGCAACUGCAGCUGAAGCUUCUGGCAAGCAAUUAUCCGUUGUGGAGAGCUCGAUUCGUUACUUUUCUCUGUGGAUAUGAUGGAUCACAUAGAGAUUCAUCAGCCAUGAUCAACAAAGAAUCUGAAAUCUUGUCCAAUCUUGAACAUAAGAUUUGGAAACAGUACGAUCGUCUGUUUCUUCACACCGUAACUUGCGUCUGUUUCGAAGUUCGUUGUUCCACUCAUUACAAAACCCACUUCGGGUAAUGAAGCUUGGUCUCGUCUUGGUUGACUUUAGGCCAACAAAUCAAGUUGAUAUUUUUGAGAACUGUAACAGCACUUUAUCCGAUACAGAAAAAAUUGAUUAUUAAAAAUCUCAAAAAUAUUUUGCCAACGUUUUUGAAGCAAAAUCUUUAAGAAUAAUUUUUAUGAAAGGAAAAUAGCUCUCAAUGAUUUCAAAAGUACUUUUCAUAGAAGUAUUUUCCUUAUUCUUUACAUUUCCUAAUUUUAAAAUUAUACUCUUAAGUGGUAUUUGUAUUUUAAGCUUAAUGUUGAAUGUAAGAAUUUGGAUAAUUUGUUUUUAACUUUUUUUUAUUUAGUACUUAUUUUUUAACAUCUUCCCAUUAAAUAGAAAAAGGAAAAAAUAUUUGGCUUUUUGUUAAAAAUAAUUUUUUCAAAUAAGUAAAACACAAUCUUAACAUGAUCCUCACUCUAUUAGUACUUAAUACUUAAUAAAAAUAAAAUAAUAAAAAAUAAUUUCAUAUUUAAUUCUAUCAAAUAGUAUUUAAAGUUAAGUUUAAGUUGUAUUUAGAUUUAAGUUAAAAAAAAAAAACAAACAUCACCUCAAUUGGAAUCCAAUCUUAUCAUGAUAAUUUAUUUUCUAUUAAGGAUGACUAAAAAUUUCCAUUUUAAUUUCUCUCACGUGCAAGAGCCUUCCAUCCUAUGGUUCUCUCUCCAAAUCUAAGCAAAAGAGAAGUGUGGCCUUCUCUCUCUCUUGAGGCCUAUGGAGGUUAGGGUUUCUUCUUACUAUAAGUGAAAGAAUAAGACCGAACUAACCUUAUACCCUUGGGUUUUAGUGAAUAAAAUAGCACAAGUAGAAAUUAUAAGUCAAUUAUAAACAUUUAUACAAUCUUGUACUUUUACAAAAACACUUGUGUCUUAUAUUUAUGUACCCUAAUGCACACUUGUAAUUAAAAAAGAUAUUUUCCGGAAAGCAUGUAUUACCAAAGAAUGUAAGUUCGAACAUGGAUCACAUAAUCCAUGAGAAAAUACUAGCUCUCUUGUAAUCAAAUUUUGAAGUUGACUCAAUACUCUAAUGAAGUAAGUCAACUACACUCUAAUAUCCUAUUACAUUAAAAUCCGGCAUCAAGAACCCUAACCCAUCAACCAUAUACAUAUGUCAAUGUUGUUAAGAGCUCUAACCUAUUAAUAUUAUAAACUCUAGCUUCAAGAUCCAAUAUUAAGAAAAGUUUAAAACUAGUUUGGCAUAUACAUAUGUUAAGGUUGUCUUUAAUUUUACCAAUGAUGGAAUCUUGUUUGUAUGAUAUCAAGGUUUCUUCCCUUUCUCUCAAAAUUGAAUUCAGCAUAUGUCAAGGUUAGGUGAAACAAAUAUCAAGGUUAAUUUAUAUUAUGCAAGGUUGUCUUAUAUUUUUGUCUCCAUGGUUAUUCCAAUAAAUGUCAAAGUUUGGUGCUAUAUAGGUCAAGGUUUCUAGGUACAUAUGUCAAUGUUAAAUUCUAUGUAUAUCAUGGAUGUCUCACAUAUGUCAACAUUUGGUGUGACAUAUAGCAUAUUUGGUAUAUAAUGUAAUAGUUGCUAUUGCAUAUGUUAAUGCUAGGCCUGGGUCAUCUCUCAAGGUUGCCUACGGAAAUUUGAAUAUUAUUUUAUUUUAUUGUUAGUUUGUAAUGAAAAAUGAACCUAUUACUAUAUAAACCUUGUUGCCAAAAUAAAUUUAAUACAUGUUUAAGUAUAAUAAUAACAAUCAAGUCCUAGAACCAUGUAAAUAACCUACUAUUCAACCAAAAAAAUUAUUAUAUAUACAUUUGAAUAUUAAAGCCACAAUUCCACAUAGUCUUUUUCAAAGUACAAUCCAUUUUCUUUAUAUAAACAACCUAAUUAAAAACAUUAAAUCAAGAUAAUAUAUGCAUUGAAAUUGAAAUUUACAACAUUAUCUUCAUAAGAGUUGCUCUUUGUUUCUUCAUCUUCAUUUUCUUCUUGCUAUGUUUCUCUGAUAUAUACCUAGCUGGUAGGAUAAACACAACAUUAAUAGAAAAGUAAACAGCAAAUACCAAUUUUAUUUUUUUCUUUUCAACAGAGAACAUUCCUUACCUUCAUUAUCGCAAAGAUAUAUAUAUAUAUAUAUAUAUAUAUAUAUUCAAUGUCACAUGCCAACAAAGUUUAAUUACAUUAGAUUUGGAUAAGAUCAAUCAUGGAUAAAUCCAAGCCUCAGACAUGGAGAAACAAUGCAUGCAAUACCCGGUAUUGUGUUUUUGCACUUGGGUUGGGAAGACUGCAAUGACUUCCUUGUUUUGCUUCACUAUUCUAAAGCAGUUCACCUCCUGAGCUUGUGGCAGUGUUUUGAAAAAUUAGAACUAUUCUCAUGUGCAGUUUACCUUCUAAGGUUGUGGCAUCUAGUUGAACUAAUCAAUGAACCCUUUGAUCAGUUAGGCCCUGACUUUCAGGCAUUAAUAAACCUGGUGCAAACUACACAACCUAAUGCAACUCAAAUUAUACAAUUUCUUAGAAUGGUGGGUCAUCUGCCUUGCCUUUUUCUUUGUUGAUAGGCAAUAAAUUUAUUAACAGGCACCCAACAAGAAAAGGGAUCACACCGUGUACAAUGGAAGCAUACAAAUGGGCCAUAAGGCUGAAAAGAAAGGGAAAAAGCUACAUAUGCCCCCUCCUGCCUAUACAUUAUCCAAAAAAUAAAUGAACCCUGCAUGAGUAAAAUAUAGAUCAUUGGAUGCCAUUGAGUUUGCCCUGAUUCAGGUUUGUUUAACUUGCUUUAUGUAAUCUAGUGGCUGCUGGGCAUUUGGUUUCAAGAACAUUGCUUUGCAUGGAUACAUAGAUUCACCUCUCUUUUCAUCUCCCUAACAUCUUACUCUUAAUUUCACAUUUCAUCCUCAGAAUUUAAUUUUAUUAGAUUUCGCAGAUUUGGGCACGUUUAUAACAAUCAGCAAACGCAGCUAACGGAGACUCUGCUCCAUGCGUUUUUAGAUCCAAAACGUGCUAUGACCCAACACUAUGGUGCAAUUCAGGGUUUAGCAGCUCUAGAACCAAAUAUGGUACUCCUCUCUCAUACUUCUUUUAUAUGAUUGUACGAAGAAAAUAAAUAAAAAACCAUCUAGAGAACAAAAUUCUGGGGCUUUAGCUGCUUUUAUUUUAUAAUCUUUCCUACUUUAGGAAAAUGAAUUUACUUGAAAUGGAAGUACUUUGACAGAGUUUCUUCCAUAUACUUUUUUUUUUCCCUUCUUAACCGAAUAAAAAAUCUGUUUCUUCUCUUCUCAACCAAAUGACAUAUCUAUAUAUAUAUAGGAGCUUGUUUUUUUAUCGUUUAUCCUAUAGUAAGUUUCUAAAUUGUAUCUGCCAUUAACUGGAGCUUUAAGCUGUUUGUGAUACUGUACUUUUUGCUUAGGUUCGCCUACUUGUAGUGCCAAAUCUUGAACCAUACCUUCGACUUCUUGAACCUGAGAUGCUCCUUGAGAAGCAGAAGAAUGAGAUAAAGAGGCAUGAAGCAUGGCGUAUUUAUGGGGCCUUGCUGUUGCGUUUUGUUUGUAAUGGGUUUGUAAUGUUAUCCAGUAUGAGAAGUCCUAAGAUGGGUUAUAUGUUGCAUGUAAUGAGAACAUGUUUCUUUUAUUCUUUCUUUCUAGCGUGCGACAGGUCAAUCUAUAUAUGAUCGGCUAAAACGUUCCCACUUUGCCAUCCCCACCAGCACGUGUUUCAAGGACCAACGGAAGGGUAGUUACAUCACCACCAAGAGUAUCAUGAAUUUUCUUUGAUUGGCAAUAUAUACACUUACGCACACAUACUGUUGGAAAAUUGGUGAAUGAAAAGAAUAUGAAUUGUGUGUUAAUGGUGUAAUCAGAAACAAAUGUGGGACAAAUAUCCCACAUUGAAAACUCAUUAAAAGUUUCACUUUAAAGACUAGUUUAUAAAGAAUGAAACUAGUAUCCCACAUUGGAAACUUAUAGAAAGUUUCAAUAGCUUAUAAGAGCUAUACUUGCACCUUGGGUUGGGCCCUUAAGGGCACCAAAGUUUUUAGAGGGGUAAGGACCUAUAUGAGCUUAGGUCCGAUAACACACGCGCGCCCGUCCCGACCUGGGCUGGGCUAGCAUGGCAUGGAGCCUAUUCUUUUUGCACUAAAAGUCCAACAACUUCAUUUUUGGAAGCUUGAAACUCAAAUAAGAACCAACUGCACAAUGGCGUUUCCGGUUGAGCAAGUUGGACAGUGUCAUUACCGGUUGAGCAAAUGGGUGCCUGACCGGUCCAACAACUUAACUUUUCGAAGCUUGAAACUCAAAUAAGAAUCGGUUGCACAGUGGCAUUUCCGAUCAAGCAAAUGGAGGUUAGACCAAUCGACCGUUUCUUGGACAAAAUAAGAACCGGUUGGACAGUGUCAUUACUGGUCGAGCAAAUGGGUGCCAGACCUAUCGACCGGUCCUGUAACAGUCCCAAUUUUUCAGUUUCUGCUUGAGUUUCAAACGUUAUAACAGUCAAAUUUUCAAAAUUUCAAAUUUUUGACUGUUAGAAAAUCAAAGAACAUGUCUAAUGAAGGAGACACAACCUUUGAAGGGAACACAACACUUGGUUUUCAAGGAUAUAAAUAGGAGAUUGCCCUCUUUAUAUCAGUUUUUGAGUGGUAUCUUGAAAGAUAGACACCAUUUACUAUUGCAAUCAAGAACAGAGUGUCAAAAUUUUGUCUUUAGGACAUUGCAAUUUGCAAGCCUCUAAACAAACGAAUCUCUUUUUACUUCCAUUCGAUUUUUUUUUUUUUUUUUGUUUCCUCUUUUGAAUUACUACAGGUUUGUUCCAUCAUCACCCCAACACAUACUACCUAAAAUAUAUAAGGUUUUGUACUACUUCUAUUCCUAUAUGGUCAUUAAUAUAACCAACUAAAGAUUUGACCUAGGUUUGAUAUUGAUGUCUUAAAAUGAUACAAGUUACAGUACUGUAGCUGCCUGAUCAUUUUGCUAGUUCAGUGAUAAAGGAUCUUUUGAAAGUGUAUGUUGUUUAUGAAAUACCAUAGGAAGCAAAAGAGUACUCUAUUUUGGAGAACUGGUUUGCUAUGUCCUCCUGGGUUUAUGGGUUGGGCUCUUUUUCUUACAUGCCUAUCACAUGCUUCUCUUUUGCAGUUUGUAGGUCAAGUCACAUUGUGAUGCAGUUAGGUGUUGUCAUUUUGGAAAAGGUUUUUGUUGUGACGGUGGAAGCUUUCAUGCAAACAUCGUUAAUCAUGAACAUAAAGAUAAAACAAUAAUGAUUACUACUCAAAAAGUAUUAUUUCAUAACUUGUAAUUAACUCUUAUAAACACUUUUGAGUAGUAGUUAUCACCUUUUAACCCAAUUAACAUAUUAAGGACCUUUGCAAUCAAUUCUAAUCAAAUUGUGUUAAUUUUUGGUGUUUUGAUAGCUUUUUGAUCACCAAAGCAAUCAGAGAUUGAGGAGAGUUCUUUGGAAUCCAUGGCAAAGCAAUGGAAAGCUCAGAAACAUGUAGAACCGAAGCUUUGAAGUCCUUUGCCAUAAGCAAAUUCGGAAUGCAAGGAGUAAAAGAUGUCCGGACAUGGCAUCCGGACAGGAUGGCGGCGGAAUGUGGGCUAUAGCAAGGCUUGCUCACUUUAGUCAAUGAUCCGGACACCAUAUCCGGAUAGGAUUGCUAUCGUCCGGGUGUGAUGUUCAUGAGUGUCGUGUGCUUCUCCAUGAGGGAGUCCGGAUAGGGGAGCGCGCCACAUGUCUUCUUGGGGAAUCCGGAUGGAGUUGAUCGGGAUAGCCAUGCGCACUCCGUGUCAUCCGGGAGAGGGGUCCCUACACCUUGCACAGGCAGAUGGUCCCCCUUGCGCGACAUAGCUCAUUCCACCAGGGGAAGAAUUCUGCCCGCCGACAUUUCACAUCCGGAAUUCCGUGCGCCGACAUUUUACAUCCAGAUAUCUCACAGCCGGAUGGGAGAGGAGGACGCUUCAACUUCUCCGGAUAGACAUAUCCGGAUCCUCUAAUAGCGCUUACGAGGAGAGUUUUUCUCUCAGUAUAUAGUGCCACGGUGUUCUCCUGAAGCUUCCUGAUAUUUCCGACCGACAUCUUGAGAUAUUUUACUUUAGAUAUUUGUUAUCUAAAUCCCCAAAGUCUCCUUGUAACCCACCUAUCAUAGGAUUCCUUAGUCUUUAAGUAAGUACAAAGGGUGAAUAACCUCAUAUAUAUAGUUUGUAAUUUUCUUUAUAGAAGAUAUAUUAUGUAAUCAGCGGAAGAAAGAAAUAUAUUUUACAGAGCACUUGCUCUGUUUUUUCUUCAUAUAAUUGUUUUCUCAUUAGUUUUCUUACUAGCCAAACAAGCUCUGAGGAAGUUUCCUCAGAGAAUGAGUGGCUAGACUUUUAGUUCCUUGGAGUUAAGGUUGCUGGGAAAGGUUCCAAGUGCAAGAAUUAGUAGCUUUGUGGUUUCAGUCAUUAAUGAAGAGAAAAUGUGAUCCUUUAAUGAUUUCUAUGUUUUUAGUUAACUUAAAACACUUUCAAUUCACUUGAGCCAACACUUGGUAAAGCAAGUGAUCUCCGUCCAUGGAGAUGCACUAGUUUACCUCUUGCGAGCUUUUGGGAAGUGACUUGAAGGUAGGAUUUUCUAGAAUUGCCAACACUUGGUAAGCUUUUGGAUUCCAAGGAGACAUCCAUUAGUUAUCUCUUGCGAGCUUGAGAAGGGAAGUCCAAAGUUAAAGAUCACCUUGAAUGGCAAAUGCUAGGUGAGAGGCACGAGCCAUUGCAAGUUGCAUCAGUGAAAGAGAAUUAGAGCUGAAAUCCAUUUAAAGGUUACAUCUGUACAACACCGGUUAGAGAAUUAACUAUAUGUUAAUUCUCUAAUGCGAGGAAAUGAACCAAAUGACCAGAGCUCUGUUUUUGCAUAAGGAACCUCCCCUGUGAACCUAAACCUCCAAGGAAUGUUUUUCUUCAUAAGUAAUUUCCAUUACUUUCUUUUUAGUUAGCUUUAAACAAAACCUCAUUUAAACAAAGUUUGUGUUUUAUNNNNNNNNNNNNNNNNNNNNNNNNNNNNNNNNNNNNNNNNNNNNNNNNNNNNNNNNNNNNNNNNNNNNNNNNNNNNNNNNNNNNNNNNNNNNNNNNNNNNGGCAUAAAUCGUGCAUUGUCAGAAGGAGAAACACCUUACUGUACAAAAAUGCUGCGAAAUCACUUCACAACAAAAGGGUGAUUUCGCAGCACUUUGCAAAAUGCUUCCUUCAGCUCAGAGUGAUUGGCUUGUAACGGCUGCAACUUCUUCGUUUCAACUCCGAAUUGCACACCGUUUGAAGCAUUGGAUUGUUGACUUCCUGAGCUUUGAAAUGGUAUAUAGCAGGCAUCAUUUGGACUUCAAAAAGUGCUCCAAAAGUGGCUGCUACGACUGUCAUCAAGAAUAUGCUUUAUGGCAGAUUCUCUUUGCUUUUUCUCCUUGCAAUCCGGAUUCACUCUUGGCAAAUGACUUUUCAACUUUGCCCAAGAUUCCUCAUAGCUCUCCUCAGACUUGACUUGCUUUGGUGAUCAAAAUACUAACAAAAACACCAAACUUACACAAAGUGAUUAAAAUUGCUUUAAAGGGUCCUUAACAUGCCAAUUGAGUUAAAAGGCCAAAACUACUACUCAAAAGUGUUUAAAAGGAUUAAUUAUAGGCUAUCAAAUAGCACUUUUUGAGUAGUAAUCAUUCGUAUCCCAUUCUACCACGAGCCAUUUCACUCCAUCGGGUACCUCCCAUUCUUCCUCACAUCUCUAUCCACCUCCUAUAACAUCUCUAUCCACCUCGUAUAGUCUUUACAGACCCAUUCAUAACUUUUUUUCCCUCAUAAUCUAGAAUAUUUAUAAAGAUAUUUCCAAUAACCUUCCUUAUUCUAUAAGGAUUCUAACAUUAUAGUAAUAUAUCAACCUAAAAAUAUUCUAUACAAUAUUUUUAUAAGAAAAAUAAAUAUAUACUAAUUAGGAAUUGGGACACUUCCUAACAAUCUCCACCUUGUACCAAAUUCCAUGAAGUCACUCUUCACAGAGCACACAAAAUGAAGAUAAAGGGAAUUUUCAGUGAAAGUGGAAUCGAUUGCUCUCUUGUAGUGAUAUGAUACAAAAGGUUUGUGUCAUGGAGAGUUAGAAAAUUGACUUUAUGGAAUUUAGUCCAAGGUGAAGAUUGUUUGGAUGUGUCUUAAAUUCCUAAUUAGUAUAGUUUUUUUUUGUAAAUAAUAUUUAUAGGGAUAUUUCCAACAAUAUUCCUUAUUCUAUAAGGAAAUCUAAUAUUACAAUAAUAUAUUAAAUUCCUAAGGUGGAGAUUGUUAGGAAGUAUCUCAAAUUCCUAAUUAAUAUAGAUUUUUUUUUUUGUGAAGAAUAUUUAUAGGGAUAUUUCAAAAAAUCUUCCUUAUUCUAUACGGAAGUCUAAUAUUACAAUAAUAUAUUAACCUAGAAAUAUUCUAUAUAAUAUUCUUUACAAAAAUAAAAUAAAAAAAAAUCUAUACUAAUUAGUUUUGGGACACUUCUAAACAAUUCCACCUUGAACCAAAUUCCAUGAAGUCAAUCUUCAAGCUCUCCAUGACACAAGCUUUUAUAUCAUAUCACCACGAGAGAGCAAUCAACUCCACGUUCACUGAAAAAUCCUUUUGAUUUCAUCUUGUGUGCUCUGUGAUCUUUUACUUUUUAAAAAAUCUUUAACCCAUGCUCUGAUACCAGUUUGUUGAUCGGCGGAAUCUUUGAUGCAAAUAUCGUUAAUCAAUAACACAAAAAUAAAAUAAUCAACACAAACAAUACAUGAGAUUUAAUGUGGUUCGACGAACCGUGCCUAUGUCCAUGAAUGAGAGAAGAUCAUUUCACUAUACAAUAGAAAACAUUAUAGAGGACAAAACCAAAACAUUACAGAGAACAUAACCAGAUACACUUAUUGGGUUCCUAAAACAUUCUAUGUUUCCCUAUUCUUCGUAUCCCUACCCUACCACUAGUUGACUCACUUCACUGGGUACCUUCCGAUCUUCUUCACAUCUCUAUCCACCUAUAGUCUUUGCAAGUCCAUCUUUAUCUCAUUAUUUUUUCCUUUCCUGACCUAUAAUAUUUAUAAGGACAUUUCCAACAAUCUUCCUUAUUCUAUAAGGAAGUCUAAUAUUACAAUAAUAUAUGAACCUAUAAAUAUUCUAUAUAAUAUUCUUUACAAAAAAAGAAUCUAUACUAAUUAGGAAUUUGGGACACUUCCUAACAGUUUUUAGGAAACAAAAGUCACAACCCAUUGCGUCUUGUGUGGGUUGAUGUGAUUGGAAUGUUUGUCUCAAGAGGACCUGAGGCACAUAUGACAUAAGUAUUGCAAAACUAAAAUUUUGCAUUAUACCUUGAACAUGAGCUAGACCCUGAAACUAUGGACUCCUAAAGUAUUUAUUGUUCGGUGAUUAUAUAUGUUGGAAUUUACAUAGUUGAAUUAAGACUUUUUUUGUUUUUUUUUUGGUUGAAAGACAUGUUGUUUCUAAAUAGACAACUUAUUUUAAAGGAUUUGUCUUGUAUUCUAAAAGUCACCAUCAAAUCUAUAAAUAGGGACCCCCAUGGCAUUUCUUAUUUAUUUAUUCAUUCAUCCAUUUUCUCCACUAUUUCUUCUUUUUUGUCAUUCUAGUCCUCCUUAGCUUCAAGUCUAAUAAUUUCUCUUUUCUACCAAAUCAAGUGAUUCGUUGUUUCUUAUAAGUUGAAGUGCUACUAUCACAAGAAAGUGAUUGUUGUAUCAUAUGAGACGAUUGUUAAUAAACCGUAAGCACCUGAGCAGGACAAAUUCGUCUUAAGGACAUAGAGUCAAACUUUAGCCUCGAUCAACUUUAUUUAUGAGUUCCAAUUUUCUACUUCAUUUUAUUUGUAUGUUUAUUAUAAGCACUUAUUAUCCAUAUAUUUUCAGUGAUUUAGAUUACAGUAUACGAGGAUCUAACUUUUAUUCACUAUCGCCCAUUCCUAAAUUGUACCAAGAUAUAAAUGCAAGGCAAACAAUGAGAACUUGGAGCGGCCAUCUCUCAAGAAGAUAGCAACGGAUGGCCCAAUGGAUCUGGUGCCAACCAACUUCUUGUCAUCUAACAUGCAACCACCAGAAACAAAAGGUCCUGUUCCUUCGACUGAUCCUGACAUGGGCCCAUCAUCAUCUUCCAGGCAGAUUCCUCAUGGAAACAUUUCAGAGAGCAGAGAUAGAAAAGGUACGGGUGAUAAUCGGGCUAUGAAGAUGUCAGCUGUCCUCACCCAAACUUGGAGGGAUGACUUGAAAUCUGGGCAUCUUCCGGUAUCUCUAUUUGAGUUGUUGGUGAAAGUAUUUUGCCCUUCGUUCCAGCUUCUGAGAUGUCUUUGCUCUUGUAACCAUUGGGAGGGAAGAUUAAAAAUUCUGUUGUUCUCACAUGGUAUAUAAUUCAUGGAAUCACUUCAAUUCAAGAAAGAAGCUUAUUUCUAAUGAAUUUUUAUAGAAGUUUUGGCCUUUUUAUGGUCCCCAUCUUACCAAUUCAAGCUCUGAAAGGGCAAGGAGGUAUCAACAAAUGACUUAUGGAAAGGAGAUCCUUAUGUUUUCAUUGAGUAAUAAGCAAGCUUUGAAAGGCCAAUUGUUUUCGCCUGAAAUAAAGAAAUCCUCUAUUUUCUUCAUUAGUUAUAACCAGCAAUUACAUGGAAAGGAAAGCAAAAACAUGGCGUUCAAUUGAGAGAACAUAUAGAAAAAUAAGUCCGCUACCGAUUCAAAUACCUCAACAAAAUCAACAAACAAUUCAAGCAUCCAUUUUCAUGGCUUCCCUUUCAACAGCUUUCUUCAGGAAGCUGUCCUCCUCCAGGACCAUCUGAACAGGCAGGAACCCCAACCCGUUGGCCAUGGCGAGCAUCAUUCGUUUGGUCUCCUUCUUGAACUCCUCCAAAUCCACGGCACCAUUCGCAUCAUGAUCGAACUUCACAAACAGGGAGUCGUAGACGUGAGCAAGCUCAUCUGGAUCUCUUUUAACAUCAAUGCCGAAGUGUGUUUCAAAGACCCUCAGACUCUGAAACUCUUUCAGCAUCUCUGUAAAUGAGAGGAAGCCAUCAUGAUUUGUGUCAAGAUUGGAAAAGCGGUCAUGGAUCAAACCAUUGAAUGCUUCUUCAUCUUCCACAAAGCUGACAAUGGUGGCACCGUCCAACACUUCCACACUCAUUCUCUCUUCUGCUCCUGCGCUCAAACUGGCUAGUAUCCAAGAAAAGCUCUAACCCAAGAACCAAGUAGUAAAAAAGCUUUUGAUUUUGAUGAAAAUGAAGGAUGCCAUGGUUGCAUAUAUAUAGCUGAAUAUUAGAUUAGUAGAGAAACAACCGUUAAACUUCUUGCAAAGUGAUAUGCUGGUUCAAACGCACCGAAAGUUUUCAGCCUAUUGUUUCUUUAUUGUGCCUCUGGUUUCUGAAAACUCCCACGCAAACCAAGCUAAUGGGAAGGCUCUCGUAAAUACCAUCAUCACUAUGUCGGUGAAACUGUAUCAACAUAUACAUAUACAAUGUUAGAAAUUAGGUUCUACAUGAAAAUAUUAUAUAUUCAAUCUCAAAAAAUCUGCUAUUACAUAACAAAUAUGACUUUUCAUAUGGGUCCCCGUGUCUUUGGAAAUUAAACAAUAGGCUCAUCUGAUGUGUAGAUAGUCAGAAACCAACAUGUAAUAUUGUAACGUACAUUUUAUAUGGAUUCUGUUCCUUUGGAAAACAAUAGGCUGAGUUGAUGUCUAGAAAGUCAGAAGCCGAAAGGACUUGACCAAGUCAAAGACGAGUAACUUUUUCGGUUAAGACGAUCCGCCAAACCUGAAUAUGAAAAUCAAUGUGCCCACAAAAUGGACAUUUCUGUGGGUCCUCUUGUUUUUCUUACCCACCACUAUUCCACCGACUUCCUCAAAAGUAAACCAGCAUAGUACAUAACGUGGACUUAGUAUACCUACCACACGAAAUGACUUCAUUAGUCAUUAUAAUGUUGAACACAUUUGGAGGAAAAGUGGAAAACACAUUCUUGUUAUAGCAUCGUAUCUUCGUUAGAUUCGAUAGAUGCCUAUCGAUAUUCUAGAAUUUUCCUAUCGAACAAACACUCAGUUCAAUUCCAUCUCAACCACUUUUCAAGAAAUUAUGCGGUCCUCCUCUAGGACAAUUUGGAGUACUGCAAUAACCCCUACCUAAGAAUAGAUUUCUGGGUCUUGCAGACGCUAUGGGAUCUAAUCUUGUGCAAUAUUCUCUGGCCGGUAUAAUUCUUUCAGAUUUUGAAAAUAAUUCUUUCAGAUUUUGUUUUUGAAAACAAAAACCAAGAGUAUUUUUUCAAGAUAUUGCUUAAAAAUUGUGUAAAUUUUUAAGAAUAGAGAAUCUUUCUUUAUCUUCUCACUGCAUCAAAAUAUAUUCUUCAAAUUGAUUUCAAGAAAAAAAAAAAAAAGGUUGAAUUCACAAAUGUGUGAUUUUAUUCAUCCGAAAGAAGCGCUUUUCAAUCAGGUGUGUAAAGACGUACAAGAAUAUGAAUCUCUACUGCCACUACAACUUCUAAGGUCCCAUCAUCUUCACCAACACAAAUCAAAGCCCUCUACUACCUACGUAAGUUUGAAGAGAAAAUUAAGGAAACAAGAAUCUAAAUCAGAUUACGGCACCAGUUUGGUGGAUUCCCAUUCAACAGCUUUCUUCAAGAAACUGCCCUCUUCUAGAAUCAUCUGCAAAGGCAAGAGCCCUAACCCAUCAGCCACGGCCAGCAUCAUUCUCUUGGUCGCAGUCUUGAACUCCUCAAAAUCCAACACCCCAUUUGAGUCACGAUCGAACUGCGAGAACAGAAAGCAGUAGACUCCAGCAACUUCAUCUGGGUCUGUCUUCACAUCAAUCCCAAACUCGGUCUCAAAAACCCUAAGACACUGCAGUUCUUUCAACAUCUCCUCGUAGGAAAGCACACCGUCUUGGUCUUCGUCAAGAGCGGCAAAGCUGUCAUGUACCCAACUGUUGAAUGCUUCUUCAUCUUCAACAAAGCCAUCAAUGGUGGCACCAUUCAGAAUUUCUACACUCAUGAUGGAAGCUCUUCUUCUAAUCGCUACUCUUCUGCGGAAGUUUUUUGGACUAGAGAACAGAAUGUAUAUCGGAGACGUUGAUUUCGAUGAAAGUACAGACGGGCUUGUACUCAUAUAUAUAUAUAUUGUUGUAGAGUUUGUGCAGAUAUCUAUUUGUAAUCGGUUUCUAUUUCCUAUAUUGAAUACAGUUAUAUUCUACUGAAAAUAUUUGUAUUCCUUUUCUUUUAGGGUACUAGUUAGAUUUAGAAACUUUCUAAAAUAUUUGUAUUUCCUUCUCUAAGAUGGUUCUUGCUAGAUUUAGAAACUUCAUGAAUUUUGCGUUUCUUUCUAAUGUAUUUAAUUAUGUUGAAAUUAUAAUCCCACUUAAAAUCAAAUUAGAAGAAUUUUAAGAAUUUAAGAAAUAUUAGAAAUUGUUAUUUACUUAGGUUUCUUAUUAUAAUUAAAACUUUUUGUCUAGGAAUUGAUGUCCUAAUAUAAGUAUGAUUAGUUUAUUAUAAAUAGACUUGUUAUUAUGUUGAGAAGUAGAGUGCAAUAAAUUUUUAUUUUAGCAAACUAUUAUUAAUACCCAAAUGUGUGGUUCCAACAAUUGGGAUUAGAAAAAGUGAAAUGCCAAAUCUGAGAUAGAAUACUAGGAAAAAUGCAAAAUCACAAGAAAGUUGCAAUUUUGUUAGUGAAAUUAUGGUUACAAAUAAUAAUUCAAUUCAUAUUUGACUUCCAAAAUUUAAAAGCAAGAAUUUUGAUAAUUAGUGUAAUCGUAUGUGCGUCUUAUUUAGAUCUCAAGAUUUAUGGGAUCUAGUAAAUAUCAGUUACAAUGAAAUGAUCAAUUCAAAAGAAUUCGAGGCACUAUCAAAGGAGUAAAAAGAUUCAUUGAAAGAUUCUUGAAAGAAAGAUUAAAAAACACCUUAUGCAAUAUUCCAAGUAGUAGAUGAAUCCAUAUUUGAGAAAAUCUUAUAAGCGUAAACAUCAAAAGAGGCAUGAGUUAUUUUACAAAAAUUAUAUAAAGGUGAUGAACGUGUUAAGCGAAUGAAGUUGCAAACAUUAAGAUGUAAAUUGGAGUCUCUUCGCAUGAAUGACUUUGAAUUUAUCUCAUAUUAUUUUAAUUGAGUACAAACCAUUGUUAACUAGAUGCAAGUUAAUGGUGAGAAGCUUGAUAAUCAACGAAUAGUAGAGAAAAUUAUGCGAUCUUUAAGUGCAAGGUUCGCCUAUACUGUUGUAGUAAUUAAGGAAAGAAAGAAUAUAUUCAUUUCACGGUUGAAAGAUUGAUGAGUUCAUUGUGUUUGCAUGAACCAAAAAAUUAACUCUACAAAUUUGAUGAUAAAAGUGCAAAGUGUGCUUUCAUUAGUUAUAGAAAUGUAACUAGGUUACAAACUGUAUAAUCUAGAAAUAGGAAAGUUGAUUGUGAGUAGAGGUAUUCAAUUCCAAAAGAAUGAGAGUUAGGCAUUGGCUCAAACACAAAGUGAGGAAAAAUGAGUUGUCAUUGAAGAAGACUGUGGAAAACAAUAAGAAUUAGAAGGAUUCUACAACAAAUAUUUCUACUUCAAACACACUUGCUCCUAUUAGAAGUUCUCCUAUGCAAACGAAAACAGGGUAGGAGUCUGAACCACAAGGUUGUCCAAAACGUUCUCAUAUUGCAUAUUUAAGGGAUUAUGAAGUCAUGAAAGAUAUUGAAAUUAUUGAUGAAGGUUUAGUUAACUUUUUCUAUUUGCAUAUUGUGAUCUAAUUUUGUAUAAAGAAGCAACAAGUGAUAAGCAGUGGAUUCAAGCAAUGAAUGAAGAAAUUCAAUCAAUAGAGAAAAACAAUACAUGGAAAAUAACUAAUCUACUAAUCGGAAAAAAGCCUAUAGGUGUUAAAUGGGUUUAUAAGACAAAAUAUAAACUUGAUGGUAAAGUUUAUCUAUUUAAGGUAAGAUUGAUUGCAAAAGGUUGUAAAUAGAAGCUAGGUAUUGAUUAUUUUGAAGUUUUUUCACAAAUUGCUAGACUACAUAUCAUUCGCAUGAUAAUUGCAUUUGCAGCUCAGAAAAUGUGAAAAAUUCACCAAAUGGAUAUGAAGUUCGCUUUUCUUAAUGGUGUACUUGAAGAAGAGGUUUUUGUUGAACAACCACCAAGAUAUAUUAAGGAAGGGUAAAAGAAACAAGUUUACAAACUUAAAAAGGCAUUGUAUGGGUUAAUGCAGGCACCAUGUGCUUAGUAUACACGGAUUGGUACCUAUUUAUUGUUGGAUGGAUUUCAAAAGAGUCCUUUUAAGCAUACACUUUAUAUCAAAUCAAAUUCUAAUGGUGAUAUAAUUGUUGUAUGCCUCUUUGUGAAUGAUUUAAUUUUUAUAGGAAAUUGUCAAUAGAUGUUUUAAGAUUUUAAGGAGACAACGAAACAAUAAUUUAAGAUGACAAAUUUGGAAUCCAAUCUUAUCAUGAUAAUUUAUUUUCUAUUAAGGAUGACUAAAAAUUUCCAUUUUAAUUUCUCUCACGUGCAGGAGCCUUCCUUCCUAUGGUUCUCUCUCCAAAUCUAAGCAAAAGAGAAGUGUGGUCUUCUCUCUCUUGAGGCCUAUGGAGGUUAGGGUUUCUUCUGCCUAUACCUAUGGAAGCAUACAUAUGGAAGCAUACAUAUGUAAAAUAUGGAUCACACCGCGUACAAUGGAAGCAUACAUAUGGGCCAUAAGGCUGAAAAGAAGGGAAAAAGCUGCAUAUGCCCCCUCAUGCCUAUACCUUAUCCAAAAAAUAAAUGAACCCUACAUGAGUAAAAUAUGGAUCAUUUGAUGCCAUUGAGUUUGCCCUGAUUCAGGUUUGUUUAACUUGCUUUAUGUAAUCUAGUGGCUGCUGAGCAUUUGGUUUCAAGAACAUUGCUUUGCAUGGAUACAUAGAUUCACCUCUCUUUUCAUCUCCCUAACAUCUUACUCUUAAUUUCACAUUUCAUCCUCAAAAUUUAAUUUUAUUAGAUUUCGUAGAUUUGGGCACAUUUAUAACAAUCAGCAAACGUAGCUGACGAAGACUCUGCUCCAUGCGGUUUUAGACCCAAAACGUGCUAUGACCCAACACUAUGGUGCAAUUCAGGGUUUAGCAGCUCCAGGACCAAAUAUGGUACUCCUCUCUCAUACUUCUUUUAUAUGAUUGUACGAAGAAAAUAAAUAAAAAACCAUCUAAAGAACAAAAUUCUAGGGCUUUAGCUGCUUUUAUUUUAUAAUCUUUCCUACUUUAGGAAAAUGAAUUUACUUGAAAUGGAAGUACUUUGACAGAGUUUCUUCCAUAUACUCAUUUUUUUCCCUUCUUAACCGAAUAAAAAAAUAUGUUUCUUCUCUUCUCAACCAAAUGACAUAUAUAUAGGAGCUUGUUUUGUUAUAGUUUAUCCUAUAGUUAGUUUCUAAAUUGUAUAUGCCAUUAACUGUAGCUUUAAGCUGUUUGUGAUACUGUACUUUUUGCUUAGGUUCGCCUACUUGUAGUGCCAAAUCUUGAACCAUACCUUCGACUUCUUGAACCUGAGAUGCUCCUUGAGAAGUAGAAGAAUGAGAUAAAGAGGCAUGAAGCAUGGCGUGUUUAUGGGGCCUUGCUGUUGCGUUUUGUUUGUAAUGGGUUUGUAAUGUUAUCCAGUAUGAGAAGUCCUAAGAUGGGUUAUAUGUUGCAUGUAAUGAGAACAUGUUUCUUUUAUUCUUUCUUUCUAGCGUGCGACAGGUCAAUCUAUAUAUGAUCGGCUAAAAUGUUCCCACUUUGCCAUCCCCACCAGCACGUGUUUUCAGGACCAAUGGAAGGGUAGUUACAUCACCACCAAGAGUAUCAUGAAUUUUCUUUGAUUGGCAAUAUAUACACUUACGCACACAUACUGUUGGAAAAUUGGUGAAUGAAAAGAAUAUGAAUUGUGUGUUAAUGGUGUAAUCAGAAACAAAUGUGGGACAAAUAUCCCACAUUGAAAACUCAUUAAAAGUUUCACUUUAAAGACUAGUUUAUAAAGAAUGAAACUAGUAUCCCAUAUUGGAAACUUAUAGAAAGUUUCAAUAGCUUAUAAGAGCUAUACUUGCACCUUGGGUUGGGCCCUUAAGGGCACCAAAGUUUUUAGAGGGGUAAGGACCUAUAUGGGCUUAGCUCCGAUAACACACGCGCGCCCGUCCCGACCUGGGCUGGGCUAGCAUGGCAUGGAGCCUAUUCUUUUUGCACUAAAAGUCCAACAACUUCAUUUUUGGAAGCUUGAAACUCAAAUAAGAACCGACUGCACAAUGGCGUUUCCGGUCGAGCAAGUUGACUUUUGGAAGCUUGAAACUCAAAUAAGAACCGGUUGCACAGUGGUGUUUUCGAUCAAGCAAAUGGAGCUCAGACCGAUCGGCCAUUUCUUGGACAAAAUAAGAACCGGUUGGACAGUGUCAUUACCGAUCGAGUAAAUGGGUGACCGAUCGACCGAUCCUGUAACAGUCCCAAUUUUUCAGUUUUUGCUUGAGUUUCAAACGUUAUAACAGUCAAAUUUUCAAAUUUUUGACUGUUAGAAAAUCAAAGAACAUGUCUAAUGAAGGAGACACAACCUUUGAAAGGGACACAACACUUGGUUUGCAAGGAUAUAAAUAGGAGAUUGCCCUCUUUAUAUCAGUUUUUGAGUGGUAUCUUGAAAGACAGACACCAUUUACUGUUGCAAUCAAGAACAGAGUGUCAAAAUUUUAUCUUUAGGACAUUGCAAUUUGCAAGCCUCUAAACAAACGAAUCUCUUUUUACUUCCAUUAGAAUUUUUUUUUCCUCUUUUGAAUUACUGCAGGUUUGUUCCAUUAUCACCCUAACACAUACUACCUAAAAUAUAUAAGGUUUUGUACGACUUCUAUUCCUAUAUGGUCAUUAAUAUAACCAACUAAAGAUUUGACCUAGGGUUGAUAUUAAUGUCUCAAAAUGAUACAAGUUACAGUACUGUAGCUGUUUGAUCAUUUUUCUGGUUUAGUGAUAAAGGAUCUUUUGAAAGUGUAUGUUGUUUAUGAAAUACCAUAGGAAGCAAAAGAGUACUCUAUUUUGGAGAACUAGUUUGCUAUGUACUCCUGGGUUUAUGGGUUGGGCUCUUUUUCUUACAUGCCUAUCACAGGCUUCUCUUUUGUAGUUUGUGGGUCAAGUCACAUUGUGAUGCAAUUAGGUGUUGUCAUUUUGGAAAAGGUUUUUGUUGUGAUGGUGGAAGCUUUCAUGCAAACAUCGUUAAUCAUGAACAUAAAGAUAAAACAAUAACACAUACGAAAUACAAGGUUUUAACAUAGUUCGACUAACCAUGUCUACGUUCACGGAUGAGAGAGAAUCAUUCCAUUAUAUAAUAGGGAACAUUACAGAUGAUAGAACUAAAAUAUUAAUAUUAUAGAGGACAUAACCAAAUAUAACUAUUGAAUUCCCAAAACAUCUCAUGUUUCCUUACUUUUCGUAUCCCUAUCCUACCACGAGCCAUUUCACUCCAUCGGGUACCUCCCAUUCUUUCUCACAUCUAUAUCCACCUCAUAUAGUCUUUACAGACCCAUUCAUAACUUUUUUCCCCUCAUAAUCUAGAAUAUUUAUAAAGAUAUUUCCAAUAACCUUCCUUAUUUUAUAAGGAUUCUAAUAUUACAGUAAUAUAUCAACCUAAAAAUAUUCUCUAUAAUAUUUUUACAAAAAAAGAAAUAUAUACUAAUUAGGAAUUGAGACACUUCCUAACAAUCUCCACCUUAUACCAAAUUCCAUGAAGUCACUCUUCACUGAGCACACAAAAUGAAGAUAAAAGGAAUUUUCAGUGAAAGUGGAAUCGAUUGCUCUCUUGUAGUGAUAUGAUACAAAAGGUUUGUGUCAUGGAGAGUUUGAAAAUUGACUUUAUGGAAUUUGGUCCAAGGUGAAGAUUGUUUGGAAGUGUCUUAAAUUCCUAAUUAGUAUAGAUUUUUUUUUUGUAAAGAAUAUUUAUAGGGAUAUUUCCAACAAUCUUCCUUAUUCUAUAAGGAAGUUUAAUAUUACAAUAAUAUAUUAAAUUCCUAAGGUGGAGAUUGUUAGGAAGUGUCUCAAAUUCCUAAUUAAUAUAGAUUUUUUUUUUGUGAAUAAUAUUUAUAGGGAUAUUUCCAACAAUUUUCCUUAUUCUAUAAGGAAGUCUAAUAUUACAAUAAUAUAUUAACCUAGAAAUAUUCAAUAUAAUAUUUCCAACAAUUUCACCUUGAACCAAAUUCCAUGAAGUCAAUCUUCAAACUCUCUAUGAUACAAGCUUUUAUAUCAUAUCACCACAAGAGAGCAAUCAAUUCCACUUUCACUGAAAAUUCCUUUUGUUUUCAUCUUGUGUGCUCUGUGAUCUUUUACUUUUUCAGAAAUCUUUAACCCAUGCUCUGAUACUAGUUUGUUGAUAGGCGGAAUCUUUGAUGCAAAUAUCGUUAAUUAAUAACACAAAAAUAAAAUAAUCAACACAAACAAUACACAAGAUUUAAUGUGGUUCGACGAAACAUGCCUAUGUCCAUGAAUGAAAGAAGAUGAUUUCACUAUACAAUAGAAAACAUUAUAGAGGACAAAACCAAAACAUUACCGAGAACAUAACCAGAUACAAUUAUUGGGUUCCUAAAACAUUCUAUGUUUCCCCAUUCUUCAGAUCCCUACCCUACCACUAGUUGUCUCGCUUCACUGGGUACCUUCUGUUCUUCCUCACAUCUCUAUCCACCUCUAGUCUUUACAAGUCCAUCUUUAUCUCAUUACUUUUUCCCUUCCUGACCUAUAAUAUUUAUAAGGACAUUUCCAACAAUCUUCCUUAUUCUAUAAGAAAGUCUAAUAUUACAAUAAUAUAUUAACCUAUAAAUAUUCUAUAUAAUAUUGUUUACAAAAAAAAAAUCUAUACUAAUUAGGAAUUUGGGACACUUCCUAACAGUUUUUAGGAAACAAAAGCCACAACCCACUGCGUCUUGUGUGGCUUGAUGUGAUUGGAAUGUUUGUCUCAAGAGGACCUGAAGCACAUAUGACAUAAGUAUUGCAUCACUAAAAUUUUGCAUUAUACCUUGAACAUGAGCUAGAACCUAAAACUAUGGACUCCUAAAUUAUUUAUUGUUCGGUGAUUAUAUAUGUUGGAAUUUACAUAGUUGAAUUAACACCUUUUUUUUUUUUUUGUUGAAAUGUCUUUUGUUUCUAAAUAGACAACUUAUUUUAAAGGAUGUGUCUUGUAUUCUAAAAGUCACCAUCAAAUCUAUAAAUAGGGACCCCCAUGGCAUUUCUUAUUUAUUUAUUCAUUCAUCCAUUCUCUCCACUAUUUUUUUUUUUUUUUUGUCAUUCUAGUCCUCCUUAGCUUCAAGUCUAAUAAUUUAUGUUUUCUACCAAAUCAAGUGAUUCGUUGUUUCUUAUAAUUUGAAGUGCUACUAUCACAAGAAAGUGAUCGUUGUAUCAUAUGAGAGGAUUGUUAAUAAAUCGUAAGUACCUGAGCGAGACAAAUUCGUCUUAAGGACAUAGAGUCAAACUUUAGCCUCGAUCAACUUUAUUUAUGAGUUCCAAUUUUCUACUUCAUUUUAUUUGUAUGUUUAUUAUAUGCACUUAUUAUCCAUAUAUUUUCAGUAAUUUGGAUUACAGUAUACGAGGAUCUAACUUUUAUUCACUAUGGCCCAUUCCUAAAUUGUACGAAGAUAUAAAUGCAAGGCAAACAAUGAGCACUUGGAGCGGCCAUCUCUCAAGAAGAUAGCAACGGAUGGCCCAAUGGAUCCGGUGCCAACCAACUUCUUGUCAUCUAACAUGCAACCACCAGAAACAAAAGGUCCUGUUCCUUCGACAGAUCCUGACAUGGGCCCAUCAUCAUCUUCCAGGCAGAUUCCUCAUGGAAACAUUUCAGAGAUCAGAGAUAGAAAAGGUCCGGGUGAUAAUCGGGCUAUGAAGAUGUCAGCUGUCCUCACCCAAACUUGGAGGGAUGACUUGAAAUCUGGGCAUCUUCCGGUAUCUCUAUUUGAGUUGUUGGUGAAAGUAUUUUGCCCUUCGUUUCAGCUUCUGAGAUGUCUUUGCUCUUUAACCAUUGGAAUCACUUCAAUUCAAGAAAGAAGCUUAUUUCUAAUGAUUUUUUUAUAGAAGUUUUGGCCUUUUUAUGGUCCCCAUCUUACCAAUUCAAGCUCUGAAAGGGCAAGGAGGUAUCAACAAAUGACUUAUGGAAAGGAGAUCCUUAUGUUUUCAUUGAGUAAUAAGCAAGCUUUGAAAGGCAAAUUGUUUUCGCCUGAAAUAAAGAAAUCCUCUAUUUUCUUCAUUAGUUAUAACCAGCAAUUACAUGGAAAGGAAAGCAAAAACAUGGCGUUCAAUUGAGAGAACAUAUAGAAAAAUAAGUCCGCUAGCGAUUCAAAUGCCUCAACAAAAUCAACAAACAAUUCAAGCAUCCAUUUUUAUGGCUUCCCUUUGAACAGCUUUCUUCAGGAAGCUGUCCUCCUCCAGGACCAUCUGAACAGGCAGGAACCCCAACCCGUUGGCCAUGGCGAGCAUCAUCUGUUUGGUCUCCUUCCUGAACUCCUCCAAAUCCACCGCCCCAUUCGCAUCAUGAUCGAACUUCACAAACAGGGAGUCGUAGACGUGAGCAAGCUCAUCUGGAUCUCUUUUAACAUCAAUACCGAAGUGUGUUUCAAAGACCCUCAGACUCUGAAACUCUUUCAGCAUCUCUGCAUAGGAGAGGAAGCCAUCAUGGUUUGUGUCAAGAUUGGAAAAGCGGUCAUGGAUCAAACCAUUGAAUGCUUCUUCAUCUUCC
rnacentral:lncRNA from 1 species